rnacentral:rRNA from 1 species
AGCCGCGGUAAUACCCGCGCCCCUAGUGGUGGUCGAUAUUAUUGAGCCUAAAACGUCCGUAGCCGGUCUUUUAAAUCUUUGGGCAAAUCGGGCAGCUUAACUGUCCGACUUCCGAGGAGACUGGAAGACUUGGGACCGGGAGAGGUCAGAGGUACUUCUGGGGUAGGGGUAAAAUCCUGUAAUCCUGGAAGGACCACCGGUGGCGAAGGCGUCUGACUAGAACGGAUCCGACGGUGAGGGACGAAGCCCUGGGGCGCAAACGGGAUUAGAUACCCCGGUAGUCCAGGGUGUAAACGCUGCGGGCUUGGUGUUGGGGGUCCUUCGUGGGCGCCCAGUGCCGGAGAGAAGUUGUUAAGCCUGCUGCUUGGGGAGUAUGUCCGCAAGGAUGAAACUUAAAGGAAUUGGCGGGGGAGCACCGCAACGGGAGGAGCGUGCGGUUCAAUUGGAUUCAACGCCGAAAAACUCACCAGGAGCGACGGAUAUAUGAAGGUCAAGCUGAUGACUUUACCUGAUUUUCC